GGUCUUAUAUUCAAAAUGAUAUCAGACUGCAAUUCUGAAGGUGUAAUAUUACUAAGGCCU
rnacentral:tRNA from 1 species